GGAUGUUGUAGGGUUGUGUUGGUUAAUGCGACUCUGCAGCAUCGCGUGGACAUCAGGGGCAGUUCCACUGGAUUUCAGGGGUGGUGGUCCCCCUGUUCAAAAAAGGGGGACCAUAGAGUGUGUUCCAACUAUAGGGGAGUCACACUCUUAACCUCCCUGGUAAUGUCUAUUCGGGGAUUCUGGAGGGGAGGGUACAUCGGAUAGUCAAACCUCAGAUUCAGGAAGAGCAGUGUGGUUUUUGUCCUGGCUGUAGAACACUGGACCAGCUCUGCACCCUCAGCAGGGUCCUGGAGGGUGCCUGGGUGUUCGCCCAACCAGUCUACAUGUUCUUUGUGGACUUGGAGAAGGCGUUCGACCAUGUCCCUCAGGGAAUCCUGUGGGGGGUAGUCCGGGAGUAUGGGGUACCAGGCCCUUUGAUAUGGACUGUUAGGUCCCUGUACGACUGUAGUGGAAUUUUCUUAUCAAAGGCACGGGCAAAGGUUCAUGUUUUAGCAAGACAGUUACUAUACACAAAAAUAGCUCGGGUUAUAAUGGACUGGUUUAGAUCAAAGCAUGUUCAUCUGUUAAAAUGGCCCAGUCAAAGUCCAGACCUAAAUCAAAUUGAGAAUCUGUGGAAUCUUUUCCAGUUUGCAAUGAAUGGGCAAAGGUUUUGUCCCUACAUGUUCUAAACGUGUACAGACAUAACCCACAGGAUACAAAACUAAUUUCAUCCAAAGGCAGUUACAAAUUAUCGACUCUGAAGGGGCUGAGAAAACACACAGGACAUUCUUUAGAUUAUUAAAAAUUAUGUACCACGUCGGUCUGGAAUAUUAAAUCCCUAUGAGCACAUUAACGUUUGUGGUUACAAUGUGAAACAAUUUAAAUAAAAUUCCAAGACACUACAUGAACAAGAAAAAAAGAUACAAUUCUUGACAGUGCUAUUUUUAUUUCAGUGCUCUUAUGUAACAGUGCAAAUGUCAAUAAAAUAUUUGGUAGCAUACUUUAUCACUGCUUGGUUGGGGGCCACUUACCAUCAUUGCUGAAGUGUGUGUCUAUGUAUUUGACUAACUGCUGCAAACAUCCAGAAAACUAACAAAGGAAGAGACUGUCAUACUCACAGAGCUGUGUGCAGGUUGGUUGUGUCUGUGUCUCUCUUUCGUCUCUGGACAGGAUGUGAUUGGCAGGUGCAGGGGCUGCAGCUGCAGCUCAUCAGGACUAAUCAGAUGGAGCAUAAAGAGGAGCUGGAGACCAGAAAGAGAAACGCCAGAUUGGCUGCUCUUGCAGUGUGGUAACCAGGCCUACUACUGUUUUGUGCUGUUGAUUAUCCAGUAACUGAUCUAAUCCAAAUCUUGUCCUCACUUCAGCAGAUACCUGUCAAAGAAGGCUUCCAGAAUCUCUGCAUGCUUCGUCAUCUCUGGGAUUUCCACAAUAAGUCUUCUGGGUCUUCCACUGUUUGUCUCCUCUAUGCUCCUCAGAUUCUCCACCUGGCUUUCUCAUCAGUCCGCUUCUCUGCUGCCACCUCUCACCCACCUGUCUGUCCACCCUCAUACACCAACGGACAUCAACAUCUGGGAAGUAAUAAACAGAGACACAGCAUCUGUGACUGUCAAACAUAACCAUCUGACAGCCCCAGUCACCUACUGAUCACCUACCAAUUUACUAACAAACUAUGCCUGAUCAGAACCUGAACUCCAGCCCGGAUGAUUCCUCUUUCCUUGCCCUUGUCACAGAAAAUAAACAUUUUAGAACUGC